rnacentral:tRNA from 2 species
GCCGACUUAGCUCAGUUGGUAGAGCACCCGCCUUGUAAGCGGACGGUCGUCAGUUCAAGUCUGACAGUCGGCU